rnacentral:ncRNA from 1 species
GUUUCAGGGCGAGGUGAAAGUCCUCACCGGCGGUAUAGUCCGCGACCGCAUCUUUGCUUUAUGAGCCGGGUGCGCUGAUCAGGUGAAAUUCCUGAACCGACGGUUACAGUCCGGAUGAAAGAAA